UACAGAGGUCCCAAGCGUUGUUCGGAUUCACUGGGCGUAAAGGGUGCGUAGGCGGUCGGGUAAGUCUGAUGUGAAAUCUCACAACUUAACUGUGAAACUGCAUUGGAUACUAUCCGGCUCGAGGAAUGGAGGGGAGACUGGAAUACUUGGUGUAGCAGUGAAAUGCGUAGAUAUCAAGUGGAACACCAGUGGCGAAGGCGAGUCUCUGGACAUUUCCUGACGCUGAGGCACGAAAGCCAGGGGAGCAAACGGG
rnacentral:rRNA from 1 species